rnacentral:lncRNA from 1 species
UGUACUGGUUUACACACUCACACACACCCACACACUAACUUUGCCAACAAUUCAACUGAAUUGUCCAAUAAGAGAUUUCUGAAAGAAGAAGUCACCAAGGAUGUAGCACUAAGCUAUUCAGGAGGGAUCUUCCCCCAUGACCCAAACUCUCCCACCAGGCCCCGCCUCCAACCCUGGGGAUUACCUUUCAUCAUAAGAUUUAGAGUGAACAAACAUCCAAGCCAUAUCGACCUUAUGUAUUAACAGGGGAAAUAAUUAACAUUUCUUCUGUUAUCUGGCCAGUAAUGGAA